GUCUCUCUGGCCUUAAUUUCUCUUCUGUCUACGCUUGAACCAUUUCCGAGGCAUGUUCUUGCAGGAAAGGCAGAACUUGAAGGAAUUGAAAAUCCGGCUUUUCAACCCGACAGUCCUCCCUCAUCACCACAGAAUAGGAAAAGAUCCUUGAGCGGGAACCAAACCAAUUUUGCUGGAGGGAGUCCACGGAAACCUCCGCCCCGACCACCAGCACCUCAGCUUAAACCACGUCAGAAAAGAUAUUUGGGCGGGAAGCCAAGCAAUUAUGUUCCAGCAACUGCAAGGAUACGUCCAGAGCGUCCACAAGCAAACAAGUUCGAUGUAACUUUCAGUA